UUUAAAUCACACUUCGCGUGUUUUCAAGUCAGCGUGUGACAGAAACAGCUGGGAUUUUUAGCUCAGUGUAUAUUUUUGACGGUCACUCACGGGAAACGUCACUUGCAAAAUCGAAUGUAUUUCCGAAGAAGAAUACAAGAAGAAUCUAUAAUCAUAACAACAAGUAGGUGGAAAUGUUGAAAUGAAGGAAAAAUUUCAAUAUUGAAGGUUUUCGAUGUAAACGAACUGAUGGUGGCUGUUGAUCCUUAAGUUCCUGCUAAAACUGCGGUGGAAAAAUAUCUGGAAAUGGUGGAAAACUUCAAAAAUCUUCAGCUCUUCGCAUCAACAACCCACAGAGGCCGGGAUGGAAGGAAAUAACAAAGAACGCGAUUACAGGUGAGUUUAAGUAUCGUUGCAAAUCAAGAGUGGUAACUUUUGGUGUUUUUUGUUUUGUUUUGUUUUUCUUUUCAGGUACCUGGUUUUAAGUCUGCUGCAGAAAAGACACCAAUCGACUUUCCAGAGGUGUCUGCUAAUUCGUACGAGCUGGUUCCUAGCCUAGCCAGGACCGUACAAGGGAGAUAACACGGACCGAGUUUGGCAUUAUAUUUGCCGAUUGCUGACGAUUGACGGAAAUUCCUCUUGAAGACCUUCUGGCCUACAUCAUAAACCGGAGCAGGAGUUUUAUAACGCAGAUUGUAAGUUUUUGCAUUUUUUUCAUAAUUUUUCUUUAUGUUUUUAGAAACGAUGUCGCGAAUAAAUUGGU